AGAGUGUUGGGUUAAGUCCCGCAACGAACGCAACCCUUGUGUCUAGUUGCCCCCGCAGGUGAUGAGCCUGCGAGCACUCUAGACAGACUGCCCGUGAUAAGCGGGAGAAGUGGGGAUGACGUCAAGUCAGUAUGGCCUUUAUGCCCUGGGCUGCACACGUGCUACAAUGGACGGUACAGAAGGAUGCAAGACCGCGAGGUGGAGCAAAUCCUGAAAACCGUCCCCAGUUCAGAUUGAAGGCUGAAACUCGCCUUCAUGAAGCCGGAUUCGCUAGUAAUGGCGCAUCAGCUACGGCGCCGUGAAUACGUUCCCGGGCCUU
rnacentral:rRNA from 1 species